rnacentral:lncRNA from 15 species
UUAGAGAGAGAGAGAGAGAGACAGAGAGAGAGACAGAGAGAGAGAGAGAGAGAGACAGAGAGAGAGACAGAGAGAGAGAGAGAGAGAGAGAGAGAGCGAGACAGAGGGAGGGACAUCACUGAUAUAUAUCUUGCUUGCACGGGAGGAGGAAGAAACACUUCUUUGCAGCUUGACUCAAAACUGUUUCUACCUCAUUGUUGGAUUCAUGAAGCAACUCCUGUCUGCCAUCCUGCCUGUUCAGACAUGUAUUCUACAAUCCUGCUGAUUUUACUUCUAUCUGGUAAGGUAUUUAUUUUGGUAUUCACUCAUUCCCUGAUAGCACAAUAUACUGUAACUAGACACAAUAACUGGUUUGACCUGUUUCAGUUGUAGUAUAUGUAAUAUAUUGGUUUUAUUGUUGUGGAUUAAAUAUGUCUAUGUCAAUGGAAUGGAAACAGUAACAUGUUUUGAUUUUGAAGUUCUGAAUUUGGCUUUGAUUUUUUAAACUCUCAAAAAAAAAAAAAAAAAAAAACAUUUGUAAAUUUGUUAUUUAAAUGAUCUAUUUUUUUUUUAUAUUAUCAUUUGUGUCUCCGGCUUUGUCUGCUGCUGGUACCUGGAUGCUAAUAUUAACAUUACAUCAGCCUUGUAUCUGAUCUUAUAAUAAUAAUACAUUUUAAGACACUUCACUUAAAAACAUAAAAGCAGCAAAACAACAUCAAAUAGUAAAACACUAAAAACACAUUAGACUAAGCUAAACAUUAAAAGCUAUUUUAAAAAGGUGAGUUUUGUCCGAGAUUUGAAUGUUGGAAGGUCAGUGCAGUCACAGAUGUGUUUGGGGAGAGAGUUCCAGAGUGAGGGGGCAGCUACAGAGAAGGCUCUGCCGGCCCAGGUUCGGUGCUUGGUCCUGGGUGGAGGAGUCAGGAGGUUUGCAUCAGAUGAGCGGAGGCUACGGGAUGGAUUGUGACGAUCCAGCAGGUCGGUGAGGAAGGAAGGGGCCUGGUUAUGGAGGGCUUUGUGUGUGAGGAGGAGGAUUUUGAACUGAAUACGUUGAGGGACCGGGAGCCAGUGGAGGUUCUGGAGGACAGGGGUGAUGUGGUCACGGGUGCGGGUGUGAGUGAGCAGACGAGCAGCAGAGUUCUGGAUGUACUGGAGUUUAUUUAAGGUUUUGGAUGGUGUGCCGUAGAGGACGCUGUCUUACUUCAGAAGAUUAAGUGCUCCUUGUUUAGAAAACUGUCCUACUUCUUAAGCUGAAUAAACAUGAGAAAGGAUCAUCUGAAAGCCUCUGCAACGUUCACUCCAAGAUAACUGGUUAGCAGUAAUUAGCUGCUUCUGAUACUGAUAG